rnacentral:rRNA from 1 species
AGCAGUAGCCACGGGAAUACGGAGGGAGCUAGCGUUGUUCGGAAUUACUGGGCGUAAAGCGCGCGUAGGCGGUUACUCAAGUCAGAGGUGAAAGCCCGGGGCUCAACCCCGGAACUGCCUUUGAAACUAGGUGACUAGAAUCUUGGAGAGGUCAGUGGAAUUCCGAGUGUAGAGGUGAAAUUCGUAGAUAUUCGGAAGAACACCAGUGGCGAAGGCGACUGACUGGACAAGUAUUGACGCUGAGGUGCGAAAGCGUGGGGAGCAAACAGGAUUAGAUACCCCAGUAGUCCCUGUCUCUUAUAA